CCUACGGGAGGCAGCAGUGAGGAAUAUUGGUCAAUGGACGAGAGUCUGAACCAGCCAAGUAGCGUGAAGGAUGACUGCCCUAUGGGUUGUAAACUUCUUUUAUAUGGGAAUAAAACGUUCCACGUGUGGGAUUUUGUAUGUACCAUAUGAAUAAGGAUCGGCUAACUCCGUGCCAGCAGCCGCGGUAAUACGGAGGAUCCGAGCGUUAUCCGGAUUUAUUGGGUUUAAAGGGAGCGUAGGUGGAUUGUUAAGUCAGUUGUGAAAGUUUGCGGCUCAACCGUAAAAUUGCAGUUGAAACUGGCAGUCUUGAGUACAGUAGAGGUGGACGGAAUUCGUGGUGUAGCGGUGAAAUGCUUAGAUAUCACGAAGAACUCCGAUUGCGAAGGCAGUUCACUGGACUGCAACUGACACUGAGGCUCGAAAGUGUGGGUAUCAAACAGGAUUAGAUACCCCAGUAGUC
rnacentral:rRNA from 1 species